AGCACCCACAUUGGAAAGGCAUCUACACAAACCACAAGAAGAGGUAAAGUGUUGAACCAUAAAAAAACGAAUAACAAGGUAUUUUGAACUGAGUGUCUGAGUCACUGAAGAACAAAUGGAAAGCCAAGAGGGGCAAUUUUCAAGCUAGUUAAAAGAUUAGACCAAAAUUCCCUCAUUCCCUUCAAUGUAGAAAAUCCUGGGUUCCUGUACCCAAAGUAGUAUAAUUUAACCAAAACAAAGUAGAAAAUUGUAAAAUCUACAGAAACAUAAAAUUAAUUAAUUAUUAAGUUUCCAGCUACUAGAAUGGAUAAAGGAAGAAUAGUAGUUGUGAAAUAGGUACUCUCCAAUAUGGGUUUCAGUCAUAUUUAG
rnacentral:misc_RNA from 1 species